UAUACGUCACACUGUGUGACGUAUAGCUCGCCUGUCGCUAGCUCACCUGUUGACCGCCUAGCUGACAGUUGAGAGAUGAAACGGCUGAUAACUGAAACGCGGCGUCCGGAGUGUACAACAGAAACAAGGAGACAGGAGACCAGAAACCCGGAGACCAGAGCCUCGGCGUCGGAUACGAGUGCUCCUUUGGGAUGAUGAAAGAAGAUGAUGAAGAUAACGAUCUGUGUCCUUCGUCGUCCAGUGUAGGCCUGUGUUUUUAGAAGCGGCUUUACCUUGGUGGCAACGGUGCGUCCAAAGAGUAUGGCAUAGCAGAGGUUGAGGGCAGAGGAGUAGGAGAACACGCGGAGCCGGUUCCUGCCGUGCGGUGUCAUGCCAAAGGGGCUGUUCCACUCGUACAGC